rnacentral:rRNA from 1 species
UACAGAGGUCUCAAGCGUUGUUCGGAUUCAUUGGGCGUAAAGGGUGCGUAGGUGGCCGUGUGUGUCAGAUGUGAAAUCCCGGGGCUUAACUCCGGAACUGCGUCUGAAACGUACACGGCUAGAGCAUUGGAGAGGGUAGUGGAAUUCACGGUGUAGCAGUGAAAUGCGUAGAUAUCGUGAGGAACACCAGAGGCGAAAGGCGACUACCUGGACAAUAGCUGACACUCAGGCAC